GCGAUCGAAUAGGUUAAAAAUCUCCCACUAGGCACACAGACCUGAGACAACCACACUUUUGCAUUGAUACUUAUUAUUAAUAUGGAUUUAUGUAAUAAAAAUAACAAUAAAAAAUAAAUCAUUUUGAUUUUUUCAUUUAUUACUUUGAAACCCGAGGUCAUGACUUUUAAUCAAAUAGAUUGCAAAGGAUAUUGACCUCAUAAUGAAGACGAGCGACUACAUCGAUCUAUUGUUCUAGAAUUGUUCUAUAAUCUAGAUAAUUCCCAGCGCUCUACACUGCAGACUCGAGGUCUGCGAAAACUGG